rnacentral:rRNA from 1 species
ACACAUGCAAGUCGAGCGGAGUGAGGUGCUUGCACCUUAUCUUAGCGGCGGACGGGUGAGUAAUGCUUAGGAAUCUGCCUAUUAGUGGGGGACAACAUUCCGAAAGGAAUGCUAAUACCGCAUACGUCCUACGGGAGAAAGCAGGGGAUCUUCGGACCUUGCGCUAAUAGAUGAGCCUAAGUCGGAUUAGCUAGUUGGUGGGGUAAAGGCCUACCAAGGCGACGAUCUGUAGCGGGUCUGAGAGGAUGAUCCGCCACACUGGGACUGAGACACGGCCCAGACUCCUACGGGAGGCAGCAGUGGGGAAUAUUGGACAAUGGGGGGAACCCUGAUCCAGCCAUGCCGCGUGUGUGAAGAAGGCCUUAUGGUUGUAAAGCACUUUAAGCGAGGAGGAGGCUACUGAGACUAAUACUCUUGGAUAGUGGACGUUACUCGCAGAAUAAGCACCGGCUAACUCUGUGCCAGCAGCCGCGGUAAUACAGAGGGUGCGAGCGUUAAUCGGAUUUACUGGGCGUAAAGCGUGCGUAGGCGGCUUUUUAAGUCGGAUGUGAAAUCCCCGAGCUUAACUUGGGAAUUGCAUUCGAUACUGGGAAGCUAGAGUAUGGGAGAGGAUGGUAGAAUUC